rnacentral:rRNA from 1 species
AAUGAACGCUGGCGGCGUGCCUAACACAUGCAAGUCGUACGAGAACGUUUCAGCUUGCUGAGACAAGUAAAGUGGCGCACGGGUGAGUAACGCGUGGGUAAUCUACCUCUAAAUUGGGGAUAACAUUGCGAAAGCGGUGCUAAUACCGAAUGAUAUCUCCAGGACCCCGGUCUUGGACAUCAAAGGUGGCCUCUACAUGUAAGCUACCGUUUGGAGAUGAGCCCGCGUACCAUUAGCUUGUUGGUAGGGUAAUGGCCUACCAAGGCUUCGAUGGUUAGCUGGUCUGAGAGGAUGAUCAGCCACACUGGAACUGACACACGGUCCAGACUCCUACGGGAGGCUG